rnacentral:rRNA from 1 species
GAUCAUGGCUCAGGAUGAACGCUAGCUACAGGCUUAACACAUGCAAGUCGAGGGGCAUUGAGAAGAAAGCUUGCUUCUUGUCGGCGACCGGCGCACGGGUGAGUAACGCGUAUCCAACCUUCCCCCUUAGUAGAGGAUAGCCCGGCGAAAGUCGGAUUAAUACUCUAUGUUCUUUCUGGAUGGCAUCUGAUGGAAAGCAAAGGUUCACCGCUAAGGGAUGGGGAUGCGUCUGAUUAGCUUGUUGGCGGGUAACGGCCCACCAAGGCGACGAUCAGUAGGGGUUCUGAGAGGAAGGUCCCCCACAUUGGUACUGAGACACGGACCAAACUCCUACGGGAGGCAGCAGUGAGGAAUAUUGGUCAAUGGGCGAGAGCCUGAACCAGCCCAAGUAGCGUGCAGGACGACCGCCCUAUGGGUUGUAAACUGCUUUUAUAGGGGAAUAAAGUGAGGUACGUGUACCUUUUUGUAUGUACCCUAUGAAUAAGGACCGGCUAAUUCCGUGCCAGCCGCCGC